rnacentral:rRNA from 1 species
UUGGGUUAGUCCGCAACGAGCGCACCCUCGUUUUUAGUUGCCAUCAUUAAGUUGGGCACUCUAGAGAGACUGCCGGUGACAAACCGGAGGAAGGUGGGGAUGACGUCAAGUCAGCAUGCCCCUUACGUCUUGGGCUACACACGUACUACAAUGCUGUGGACAGAGGGCAGCAAGCUCGCGAGAGCAAGCUAAUCCCAUAAACCACGGCUCAGUUCAGAUUGCAGGCUGCAACUCGCCUGCAUGAAGGAGGAAUCGCUAGUAAUCGCAGGUCAGCAUACUGCGGUGAAUACGUUCCCNGGGCUUNUNAACACCNCCCGCCACACCAUGGGAGUUGGCCACGCCCGAAGUCGUUACUCCAACCGUUCGCGGAGGAGGGCGCCGAAGGCAGGGCUGAUGACUGGGGUGAAGUCGUAACAAGGUAACCA